AUUGAACGCUGGCGGAAUGCUUUACACAUGCAAGUCGAGCGGCAGCACGGGGGCAACCCUGGCGGCGAGCGGCGAACGGGCGAGUAACACAUCGGAACAUGCCCAGUCGUGGGGGAUAACACUUCGAAAGAAGUGCUAAUACCGCAUACGUCCUGAGGGAGAAAGCGGGGGAUCUUCGGACCUCGCGCGCUUGGACUGGCCGAUGUCAGAGUAGCUAGUUGGUGGGGUAAAGGCCUACCAAGGCAACGAUCUGUAGCUGGUCUGAGAGGAUGAUCAGCCACACUGAGACUGAGACACGGCCCAGACUCCUACGGGAGGCAGCAGUGGGGAAUUUUGGACAAUAGGGGCAACCCUGAUCCAGCCAUUCCGCGUGAGUGAAGAAGGCCUUCGGGUUGUAAAGCUCUUUCGGCAGGAACGAAACGGCGAGCUCUAACAGAGCUUGCUAAUGACGGUACCUGAAGAAGAAGCACCGGCUAACUACGUGCCAGCCGCCGCAGUAAUAC
rnacentral:rRNA from 1 species